rnacentral:rRNA from 1 species
AUUGAACGCUGGCGGCAUGCUUUACACAUGCAAGUCGAACGGUAACAGGCCGCAAGGUGCUGACGAGUGGCGAACGGGUGAGUAAUGCAUCGGAACGUGCCCAGUCGUGGGGGAUAACUACUCGAAAGAGUAGCUAAUACCGCAUACGAUCUAUGGAUGAAAGCGGGGGACCGUAAGGCCUCGCGCGAUUGGAGCGGCCGAUGUCAGAUUAGGUAGUUGGUGGGGUAAAGGCUCACCAAGCCAACGAUCUGUAGCUGAUCUGAGAGGACGACCAGCCACACUGGGACUGAGACACGGCCCAGACUCCUACGGGAGGCAGCAGUGGGGAAUUUUGGACAAUGGGCGCAAGCCUGAUCCAGCAAUGCCGCGUGCAGGAAGAAGGCCUUCGGGUUGUAAACUGCUUUUGUACGGAACGAAACGGCUCUGGUUAAUACCCGGGGCUAAUGACGGUACCGUAAGAAUAAGCACCGGCUAACUACGUG